GUAGCCCUCGCAGCACACCUGAAUCUGACUGAGCUCUGGGGUGGUGCCGUUGCCAACAUACUUUUCCCUGGAGCCGUGCAACAACGAGGCGGUUCUAUAAAGAGAAGGAGAGAGAGUGAGAUAAGGUUAAUAAUAGGUUAAGGCGGAACUUAAAACCCAAUAAUUUUAUUACAAAAUAUGUAAUGCAUUGAAAAAGACAUCACUUAGUGUGAAUACACAUUCCUGAACCAUCAAAUUGAAAGAGACUUAACCAAAUUGAGGUAUUUUAAGUGCCCUAUGCUUCUAACAUGUGAACAUUUUAUCAACUCCGAGAAGUUAGCAUUUGUUGAAGUAUUUGUAUAACUAGUUAAAGCAUAUCUUAUUUCAAAAACAUCUUAGCUCAGUUCUUAUACAUAUUAUUUUGCUCAGGGUCUAUUCCCAUUUGUUCUUUGAGUAUGACAUAAAUAAAUAUGUAAACUAAAUAAAUAUACAAAUUGAUAAUAUAUAUGUAUGUAUACAAAUGAAAUUAAACUUAAAGACGCAUUUCAUUAUCAGGCAAGUCGAGGAUGUCGAGGUUGUUAGUUCAAUGUGUAGCUGCCCUAUUUUCAAUUACUUAGAACUGCGCGAUAAUAAUUCAAGCUCAUGCAAUGGGAAUUUACGUAUGUACAUAUGUAUAUGAAUAAUAUGACCAACAUUCCACUGGUCAUACUUACGGCACUUCCUUGUAACAGAUGCCGCUGGC